UAAGGUGGCUAUAGCAACGGGGCUCACCUCUUCCCAUUCCGAACAGAGAAGUUAAGCCCGUUAGCGCAGAUGGUACUGCAUUUUUGUGGGAGAGUAUGUCGUCGCCUUUU
rnacentral:rRNA from 1 species